UUUCCGGUUGAUCCCGCCGGAAGCCACUGCUAUCGGGCUCCGACUAAGCCAUGCGAGUUUUGGGGCUCUUCGGAGGACCGGCGGACGGCUCAGUAACACGUGGACAACCUACCCUCGGGUGGGGGAUAACCUCGGGAAACUGAGGCUAAUACCCCAUAGGUCUCAGAUACUGGAAUGUUCUGAGGCUGAAAACUCCGGCGCCCGAGGAUGGGUCUGCGGCCUAUCAGGUAGUUGGUGGUGUAAAGGACCACCAAGCCUACGACGGGUACGGGCCCUGAGAGGGGGAGCCCGGAGAUGGAAUCUGAGACACGAUUCCAGGCCCUACGGGGCGCAGCAGGCGCGAAACCUUCGCAAUGCGCGAAAGCGCGACGAGGGGAGCCCGAGUGCCCUUCCUUCGGGGAGGGCUUUUCUGGAGCCUAAAAAGCUCCAGGAACUAAGGGCUGGGCAAGACGGGUGCCA
rnacentral:rRNA from 1 species